rnacentral:rRNA from 1 species
GACGAACGCUGGCGGCGUGCUUAACACAUGCAAGUCGAACGGUAAGGCCCUUCGGGGUACACGAGUGGCGAACGGGUGAGUAACACGUGGGUGACCUGCCCUGCACUUCGGGAUAAGCCUGGGAAACUGGGUCUAAUACCGGAUAGGACCACUGCCUGCAUGGGUGGUGGUGGAAAGCUUUUGCGGUGUGGGAUGGGCCCGCGGCCUAUCAGCUUGUUGGUGGGGUGAUGGCCUACCAAGGCGACGACGGGUAGCCGGCCGGGGAGGGUGACCGGCCACACUGGGACUGAGAUACGGCCCAGACUCCUACGGGAGGCAGCAGUGGGGAAUAUUGCACAAUGGGCGCAAGCCUGAUGCAGCGACGCCGCGUGAGGGAUGACGGCCUUCGGGUUGUAAACCUCUUUCAGCACCGACGAAGCGCAAGUGACGGUAGGUGCAGAAGAAGGACCGGCCAACUACGUGCCAGCCGCCGCGGUAA